rnacentral:rRNA from 1 species
AUACGUAGGGGGCGAGCGUUGUCCGGAAUGAUUGGGCGUAAAGGGCGCGUAGGCGGCCCGGUAAGUCUGGAGUGAAAGUCCUGUUUUUAAGAUGGGAAUUGCUUUGGAUACUGUCGGGCUUGAGUGCAGGAGAGGUAAGUGGAAUUCCCAGUGUAGCGGUGAAAUGCGUAGAGAUUGGGAGGAACACCAGUGGCGAAGGCGACUUACUGGACUGUAACUGACGCUGAGGCGCGAAAGUGUGGGGAGCAAACAGGAUUAGAUACCCUGGUAGUCCACACUGUAAACGAUGAAUGCUAGGUGUAGGGGGUAUCGACCCCUUCUGUGCCGCAGUCAACACAAUAAGCAUUCCGCCUGGGGAGUACGGCCGCAAGGUUGAAACUCAAAUGAAUCGACGGGG